GGAAAGUUGUAGAAAGCGCACUGUUUUCCGGGAUCAAAAAGGUCGAUUUUACGAAAAGAAACACAUCCGUUCAAUAGAACCCCGAGUCUGCACAAAGUGAAGUGCAACAAAAGCACGGCAGUUAAGCGAAAAGUUUCCUCCUUGCUCGACGUUUCCUGCAUCGGGUGAUUUUGUUAUGUGCCUACCGGAUAUGUACAGUGGGUUGAUCUCUCACGGUGGGUUGUGGAAAAUUUUCUACACUAAACUGUGUAAACGGAAUGUCCCGAAAUAGCUCUUAUCGUAUAUUCUUGAUCACGUCUUGGAAAACUUGAUAAAAUUCCCAGAUCUGUCUUAUUCGAAGAUAUCGAAAACAAAAACACUGCCUAACUGAGAAUAAAAAAUUGCGAAAAAUCGUGAGAUGCGAACGAAGCCUGAGGGAAGUUCGAGUAAAAAAUCUCGAAGAUGGAGCAAGGGAUGAGAACGAUUGAGAGGAAACCGGAAGAGAGGAUCAAGACUAGAGAAAGAAAGAAGUACGGGGGAUGAAAAAUAAGUAUCGUAACAAUAGUAUCAGUUACGCAGUGUGAAAGAGAAAGUUAGUAAUAUGCAGAUAUAACAGCGAGUAGCGAAGUCCGAAAGAAGCUGAAGAAGAUAGCGGCAAGAAAGAGAACCAUGGAAGAGAACCAAAAAAGCGCGCGAGAAAGUCAGAGUUGGUCGGAAAAAAAGAUAUCACGAUGCUUGAGCGCUGAGAGCGAAAUAGGCUACAGUGGAAGUGGCUUACCGCCUUGCUCGUCCAGCAUUACGAGGCUUUUCAUCCCGACCUCGUGGCUCUAAACAGGCAACCGACAGGCAAUCAGCGGCGUGUUAAAACAUUUGAGGAAAGGUUACAUCGCCGUCGGGACGCUCCCUCGCCUCGCUCCGCGAUGAUUCCCUCCCCGGAAAGAAGGGGAUGCGAGGCCCCCCAUGAUUUUUACCGAUGAUUCCCUCCCCGAUGCCGACGCGGAGAGAAAUGAAGUCAGGAGAGAAACAUAUAUAUGAAAGAUAUACAGGGUAUCUAAAGAAGCGCGAAAAGUUUUGGGAUGAUUCUUUAUCGAAAAUCAAGGGAGGUUUA